AGCUCCAAUAGCGUAUAUUAAUGUUGUUGCAGUUAAAAAGCUCGUAGUUGGAUUUCUGCCGGGCGCGGCCGGUCCGCCCCGCAAGGGGUGUGUACUGCGCCGUCGUUCGGCAUCCUUGCAGAGAGCGGCUCGCGCAUUAAGUUGUGCGGGUCGGGAUCUGCAUCGUUUACUGUGAAAAAUUAGAGUGUUUAAAGCAGGCGUUUGCUGUGAAUACAUUAGCAUGGAAUAAUAAGAUAGGACUUUGGUGCUAUUUUGUUGGUUUGUACACCGAGGUAAUGAUUAAUAGGGACAGUUGGGGGUAUUCGUAUUUAAUUGUCAGAGGUGAAAUUCUUGGAUUUACGAAAGACGAACAACUGCGAAAGCACUUGCCAAGAGUGUUUUCA
rnacentral:rRNA from 1 species